rnacentral:rRNA from 2 species
CAGUCGAACGAACUCUGGUAUUGAUUGGUGCUUGCAUCAUGAUUUACAUUUGAGUGAGUGGCGAACUGGUGAGUAACACGUGGGAAACCUGCCCAGAAGCGGGGGAUAACACCUGGAAACAGAUGCUAAUACCGCAUAACAACUUGGACCGCAUGGUCCGAGUUUGAAAGAUGGCUUCGGCUAUCACUUUUGGAUGGUCCCGCGGCGUAUUAGCUAGAUGGUGAGGUAACGGCUCACCAUGGCAAUGAUACGUAGCCGACCUGAGAGGGUAAUCGGCCACAUUGGGACUGAGACACGGCCCAAACUCCUACGGGAGGCAGCAGUAGGGAAUCUUCCACAAUGGACGAAAGUCUGAUGGAGCAACGCCGCGUGAGUGAAGAAGGGUUUCGGCUCGUAAAACUCUGUUGUUAAAGAAGAACAUAUCUGAGAGUAACUGUUCAGGUAUUGACGGUAUUUAACCAGAAAGCCACGGCUAACUACGUGCCAGCAGCCGCGGUAAUACGUAGGUGGCAAGCGUUGUCCGGAUUUAUUGGGCGUAAAGCGAGCGCAGGCGGUUUUUUAAGUCUGAUGUGAAAGCCUUCGGCUCAACCGAAGAAGUGCAUCGGAAACUGGGAAACUUGAGUGCAGAAGAGGACAGUGGAACUCCAUGUGUAGCGGUGAAAUGCGUAGAUAUAUGGAAGAACACCAGUGGCGAAGGCGGCUGUCUGGUCUGUAACUGACGCUGAGGCUCGAAAGUAUGGGUAGCAAACAGGAUUAGAUACCCUGGUAGUCCAUACCGUAAACGAUGAAUGCUAAGUGUUGGAGGGUUUCCGCCCUUCAGUGCUGCAGCUAACGCAUUAAGCAUUCCGCCUGGGGAGUACGGCCGCAAGGCUGAAACUCAAAGGAAUUGACGGGGGCCCGCACAAGCGGUGGAGCAUGUGGUUUAAUUCGAAGCUACGCGAAGAACCUUACCAGGUCUUGACAUACUAUGCAAAUCUAAGAGAUUAGACGUUCCCUUCGGGGACAUGGAUACAGGUGGUGCAUGGUUGUCGUCAGCUCGUGUCGUGAGAUGUUGGGUUAAGUCCCGCAACGAGCGCAACCCUUAUUAUCAGUUGCCAGCAUUAAGUUGGGCACUCUGGUGAGACUGCCGGUGACAAACCGGAGGAAGGUGGGGAUGACGUCAAAUCAUCAUGCCCCUUAUGACCUGGGCUACACACGUGCUACAAUGGAUGGUACAACGAGUUGCGAACUCGCGAGAGUAAGCUAAUCUCUUAAAGCCAUUCUCAGUUCGGAUUGUAGGCUGCAACUCGCCUACAUGAAGUCGGAAUCGCUAGUAAUCGCGGAUCAGCAUGCCGCGGUGAAUACGUUCCCGGGCCUUGUACACACCGCCCGUCACACCAUGAGAGUUUGUAACACCCAAAGUCG